rnacentral:rRNA from 1 species
UGGGGAAUAUUGGACAAUGGGCGAAAGCCUGAUCCAGCCAUGCCGCGUGUGUGAAGAAGGUCUUCGGAUUGUAAAGCACUUUAAGUUGGGAGGAAGGGCAGUAAGCGAAUACCUUGCUGUUUUGACGUUACCGACAGAAUAAGCACCGGCUAACUCUGUGCCAGCAGCCGCGGUAAUACAGAGGGUGCAAGCGUUAAUCGGAAUUACUGGGCGUAAAGCGCGCGUAGGUGGUUCGUUAAGUUGAAUGUGAAAGCCCCGUGCUCAACCUGGGAACUGCAUCCAAAACUGGCGAGCUAGAGUAGGGCAGAGGGUGGUGGAAUUUCCUGUGUAGCGGUGAAAUGCGUAGAUAUAGGAAGGAACACCAGUGGCGAAGGCGACCACCUGGGCUCAUACUGACACUGAGGUGCGAAAGCGUGGGGAGCAAACAGG